GGAUCACAGAGAAAGGCCACAGCUGAAGCCUUUUUGAUUGAUUGAUUGAUUGAUUGAUUGAAUCAAGAGUAUACAAGAAUCAAGAGUAGGACAGGAUGAGCAGUUGCUAAAGCAUUUGCUUUUAAAAAAAUAAGCUAAGAGUCAGCCUAUCUGGAAUAUAUUUUUCAAAAGUUUGGAAUUCUUCCAUUAGUAUAACCCUGAAAUGGCUUCACUAACAUGCUGGUGGGACAGAUCUGCAAAUGGCUGGAAUCUGGACCAUCCAGAGGCUUUGGAAUUGUCUUCAG